rnacentral:rRNA from 1 species
AGUGAACGCUGGCGGGAGGCCUAACACAUGCAAGUCGAACGGCAGCACAGUAAGAGCUUGCUCUUACGGGUGGCGAGUGGCGGACGGGGGAGGAAUACAUCGGAAUCUACUUUUUCGUGGGGGAUAACGUAGGGAAACUUACGCUAAUACCGCAUACGACCUACGGGUGAAAGCAGGGGAUCUUCGGACCUUUCGCGAUUGAAUGAGCCGAUGUCGGAUUAGCUAGUUGGCGGGGUAAAGGCCCACCAAGGCGACGAUCCGUAGCUGGUCUGAGAGGAUGAUCAGCCACACUGGAACUGAGACACGGUCCAGACUCCUACGGGAGGCAGCAGUGGGGAAUAUUGGACAAUGGGCGCAAGCCUGAUCCAGCCAUACCGCGUGGGUGAAGAAGGCCUUCGGGUUGUAAAGCCCUUUUGUUGGGAAAGAAAAGCAGCAGGUUAAUACCCCGCUGUUCUGACGGUACCCAAAGAAUAAGCACCGGCUAACUUCGUG